rnacentral:rRNA from 1 species
GUCGUAUUAUCUUUUGAUUUUCUGAUAGCGACCGGCGGGUGGAGUGCGUAACGCGUAUGCAACCUACCUCUUACUGGAGGAUAGCCCGAAGAAAUUCGGAUUAAUACUCCAUAGUAUUUCUUUCUCACCUGAGAUUGAAAUUAAAGGUUACGGUAAGAGAUGGGCAUGCGUCCUAUUAGCUAGAUGGUAAGGUAACGGCUUACCGUGGCUACGAUAGGUAGGGGGCCUGAGAGGGUGAUCCCCCACACUGGUACUGAGACACGGACCAGACUCCUACGGGAGGCAGCAGUGAGGAAUAUUGGGCAAUGGAGGCAACUCUGACCCAGCCAUGCCGCGUGCAGGAAGACGGUCCUAUGGAUUGUAAACUGCUUUUAUCUGUGAAUAAACUCCGGUACGUGUACCGGCCUGAAUGUAGCAAAUGAAUAAGCACCGGCUAACUCCGUGCCAGCAGCCGCGGUAAUACGGAGGGUGCAAGCGUUAUCCGGAAUCAUUGGGUUUAAAGGGUCCGCACGCGGAUGUAUAAGUCAGUGGUGAAAUCCUACAGCUUAACUGUAGAACUGCCAUUGAUACUGUACAUCUUGAAUUCGGUCGAAGUGGGCGGAAUAUGUCAUGUAGCGGUGAAAUGCUUAUAUAUGACAUAGAACACCGAUUAGCAAAGGCAGCUCACUAAGUCUAGAUUGACGCUCAGGGACUAAAGCGUGGGUAGCGAACAGGAUUAGAUACCCUGGUAGUCCACGCCGUAAACUAUCACUACUCGUUUUCCCGCGAUGUACAGUCGGAGACUAAGCGAAAGUGGAUAAGUAAUGCACCUGGGGAGUACGAUCGCUAAGGUUGAAAUUCAAAGGAAUUGACGGAUCACUAUUGAAUUCCCGGGCCCCUGCACGUCGACAUUAUG